GAUGAAGAACGUAGCGAAAUGCGAUAAGUAAUGUGAAUUGCAGAAUUCAGUGAAUCAUCGAAUCUUUGAACGCAUCUUGCGCCCCCUGGUAUUCCGGGGGGCAUGCCUGUCCGAGCGUCAUUGCUGCCCUCAAGCACGGCUUGUGUGUUGGGCCUCCGUCCUCCUCCCGGGGGACGGGCCCGAAAGGCAGCGGCGGCACCGCGUCCGGUCCUCGAGCGUAUGGGGCUUCGUCACCCGCUCUUGUAGGCCCGGCCGGCGCUUGCCGACACAUCAAUCUUUUUUCCAGGUUGACCUCGGAUCAGGUAGGGAUACCCGCUGAACUUAAGCAUAUCAAUAAGCGGAGGA
rnacentral:misc_RNA from 1 species